AGGAUAAACGCUGGCGGCGUGCCUAACACAUGCAAGUCGAACGUCUCUUCUUUCGGGAAGAGGAGUGGCGGACGGGUGAGGAACACGUGGGAACCUGCCCUUCAGUGAGGAAUACCGGCGAGAAAUCGCCGACAAGACCGCAUAGCCCUCUCUGGUGAGAGCCAGAGAAGGAAAGCCUCGCAAGAGGCGCUGGAGGAGGGGCCUGCGUCCGAUUAGCUAGUUGGUUGGGUAAGAGCCUACCAAGGCGUCGAUCGGUAGCUGGUCUGAGAGGACGAUCAGCCACACUGGGAUUGAGAACGGCCCAGACUCCUACGGGGGGCAGCAGUGAGGAAUUUUCGGCAAUGGGGGAAACCCUGACCGAGCAACGCCGCGUGCAGGAAGACGGCCUUCGGGUUGUAAACUGCUUUUCUUUGGGACGAGCAAGGACGGUACCAGAGGAAUCAGCCCCGGCUCACUACGCGCCAGCAGCCGC
rnacentral:rRNA from 1 species